ensembl:lncRNA
CGGGGUUGAGUUGUUGGGAUUCCAGAGAGUUGGUGGAUAUGUCAUAGGCUGUAGGGUCGUGAUUGGCUGAGAACCAGGAAACGUUAUCGUUGUUCUGGGGAGAGAGCUAGGCUAAAGUGCGAUGCUAAUAUUGGCCUAAUGCUAAACGCUAGCUCCUAUUGCCGAGUUUUCGUGACGCCUACGGAGCCCUCGGCUAUAGACAGACCGUCGCCGUUCUCACUGACCCAACAGUUUAUUCGAUGUAGUUGCUUUUGCGUUGGCUACAGCCCACAGUAGCCUGUGUAUUAAUUGGGAAAUAAAUCGCCAGAAAACCCCAGUUCCGUCUCGUGGCAUUUUUACAGAGGGACGCUACAAUGUAAUGUUUUCAUUUCAUUUUGUUGUGUUAAGAAUGUAUUAUUUUUUAAGGUCUUGAUGUCUAAUUACCUUAAUAGAGCCAUAUUAAAAUGAGAAAUGAGGGAGAUUUUUAUUUAACUGUUGUAUGGAAAUGUUUAUUUAAGGGUAAACUUGUUCUGUAGAAACUGUUUGAAUCACAAAAUAUUUGUUUUAGUUUUUUCUGUAGGUAUAGGUAAUUGGUGUUGAGACAGUUGGGUUGAGACGGGCUUCUGCUUCAAGCAUUGUUCCUAAGGCUCUGUAGAAAUUGUGAGUAUUUAAAUGCUUUAUUUGAUUCACUUGACUUAUUUAAACUUAAUAGUAUUAAAAUGUUGCUGUCAAUUUAUGACAAUUAAUCUUAAUAUUUUGGUACUGUGUGAUAACAUUAGCCUGCAGUAAUAUACUUUCCUGUGUGAUUUAUUAGGUCCCCAUUCAACAGUUUAAAAGCACCAUGAACAAUGAAUUGCAUAAACUACAAUAAAGAGUAACUGAAGCAUGUUGACCUAUUCUUUUAGGAAAGCUAUAUGGAUGUAUUUGGUUGGCUGGCCUAACAUUUUUCCCUCUUUCUCUCUUUCCAGUGAUAUGGCAGUGUAAGGGGUGUUCCGUUGCAGUAGCUACAUCACCAUCAUUACAUGAUUCUUCAGCUGAUUGCCAGGAUGAGGAGUUUGUGGAAGAGGAAGUUUCUGUUGCACCCCUAGAUAAAUGCAGAAUUUAAGCGCAUUACCACCAUGCCCCUGCAAUCCAGAUUUCUGACACAGCUGGAUGUAAGAUCUGACAAACUUCUAAAGCUGUUCGAAAAACGAGGAGGACAGAUAGGCAAGCGUCUUGAGAGAACUUUGGCCCCCAUGACUCAAGAUGAUGACGUUGAUACAGGGCGGGAAUGUGUUCAAGGGGCUGUGUGUGUACCUCAACGAAGACCCAGCAAAUCUUGUCAGGGAGUUCGUGGCGUGUGCGCGGGCAGAUUUGACCAGGCAUAUGGGGGCGUGGCAGGAGUGCCUCUACGUAGAUGAUUUCCCGGAAAUGUGAACAAGUGAAUCGCAAACGUUGUCCCGAGUGUUUAGCGCUCUGCACAGCCACCCCAGACUGUCAGCAGGGAAUACGUCGAAAUGCAUUUACGUCAUUAUUUGACACUUGAGUAUGGUUAAACAUGACUAUCAAUCAUUAUAGCAACGUUCAUAGGUCAUAAAAGUCAAAAAAGCAUAAUUGGUCCCCUUUAAUGAAAUAGAUCUAGGCUACUGUACUGAUGCAAAUUACGCAACACACUUCCGUUGUGUUUAGUAAGUAAAAAAGUUUAUAUUGGUUGCUCGACCUUAAGGUCUGGUUAGUUUAAUUUUUGCUUCCAUUACAUGACACACAGGUGAGUGAUUUAUCCAAGUUAAAACUUGACUAUAAAAUGAACCCUCUCGUGUUUUUUCGGCACAACACUAUAUAGACAUUUUAAUUUGAAACAUGUACAGUCUGCAUUUAAGUUUAACAAAGAGAAAAGGAGAGGCUCACAGACUAC